rnacentral:lncRNA from 1 species
GGCUGGAAUUUGCUGCUGCAACAAGUGUGAGAGGGGAGCGGGCCGCGCAGCGUGUGCUGCCUGUCACCGCUCCCCUCUGCGAGCCGCAGGCAGCAGCAGGCUCCUCACCGCUGCCUCUCCAGCCUCGGAGAAACGCAAACCCGGGCUCUCAUUUAUAAUGCAGACAGCUUGUUCCACAAGUUCACAACGCCUUCUCCAAGUUUCUGAUAACUCGAACGGACCGUUUUUAACUUCACGUUAUACGCGGUACGGAAAUAAUGUCAACACAUACACGAAGCUCUCUCUUCCCAUUACUUUCCAGGAGUGCUGCGGCCAGAAGUCGAGGCGGGUACCCGGGCGGCUCUCCGCACAGAUAGCGGCGCGGGACCCGACGCCCGUCCCGAAGGCCACCGCCUCUCCCCAGCUGGAAGACCUGCCCCGAUGACUCACGCGCUCGCAGCACGCGAGCUGCCCACGCCGCUCACCAAAGCGUUUUCGAGAAGCAGCGGCAGGGAACGCGCACGGGCUGUGUAGGUGCCCUUCUGGCCUGAGAGGCAGCCGCAGGCACGUUGAGUUGAGAAGCCAGGUGUGAAUUACGGCGGGGGAGAGGAGUAGUGAGGCAGGUUGCCAUGGCUCGGCUGAUGGAAGGUAACCUAAUGAGCUCUGUUAAUUAGCGUGUGUAUCUGAUUCCCAGGGUUUGGCUCCAGAAGUGGAGCAGUGGAGGGAGAUUAUGACAACGGUUCGGUAGCUGGCACUCCUGAGUAGCCCAGGUUUUGCUCCCUGCUUUCCAGAUCGUUUUCUUUACACUUUCCUGGAUUGAAAAAGCAAAGUUUUUGUGGGAAAGAGGGUUUGGAAUCCAUACCUGUGGGUUCAUUGUUGUUGGUUUGAGGGUUUGUUUUUGUUUUUGCCUCUCCUUUUACAGUUUAGUACGCAGUUCUAUGGAUUAUUCUCCCGAUACAACUUGUGCUCACUAAGUGCCAGGCUUGUUCAGUGCCCAGCAGGGUUUUGGAUUCCACUUCAGAGGCCACACACCCAACCAUUACCCAACCAUUAGGUGUUGCAGUAACUGAUUUACAGGCAUCCAACUCUCAUUGUUGGAUCCGCUCCUAAAUAGAAGAAAAAAAAAAAAAAAAAAAGGAGAUAUGAUCUUAAUUUAGCUAAUUGUUGAUCUGGUAAAGACAUGUGCCAUCUUAGCCAUUCUAAUCAUUUUAUUCUGUAAUACUACUAAUCUGCUGUUCCAUCUCUGCAAAUAGUUGUAUGCCUCCCCAAAACACCUGCUGGUUAACCUUCAAACUCUCUUGAAGAUUUUAUUUUCACAUUUGCUGAAUUAAGGCAAUGUGUAAUGAAAGUACUUACUUCAAGUAAAGCCCUGGUGGUUAGCAGUGGAGAAGAACUGAGGUGUACAAGCCUCUGCAUCUCCAUAAGAGUUCAGCUACAGAAAGUAACAGGAUCAUUGCCUACUAAAGUGACAGUCUCAUUUAUUUUCAUUGAGAGUAUUAUGUUUCAGUCAGCUGAUUGGUUUUAAAGUCCAGCCUUGCUUUUCACCAGCGUGAAGAAGUUUUUUUACUCUCCAUUAAAACUAUCUCUUUCAAGAGUCUAAUUUUAUGAACUUGCUUUUAUGUGUCAUCCUACAGUGAGAAAGUACACGUGGCAAUCAUGAGACAGGAUAAGCUGAAUUUCUGCUGCAGUUUGCUUUAUCAAUAACGUUUCUUGUUAUGUAAAUUGAGAAAAGCUACUGAGGUUAUUAUUUUCUCUGGAACUAGCUGCCAGUUACCUAUCCUUGGCAUGAAUAAGAAGCUUUUAUAGUGGUACAGUCUUUUUCAUUCCUAAAAAAAAAAACCAGGCCUGUUAUACAGCAGCACUACUAUAGUCCUACUUUGUAAACAAUCCACACCAAAGAGAGCGUGUGGUUAGAAAGUCCAUGAUGCUGAGCUAAAACUGAAACAUCAUUUGUGUCAGUACUACUCCCAAAAUUAAUUAUGACUCCUGAGUUAGUACCUGAUUUCUGUCCUAUGUCACAACUGCAGCGGUCCACUUGGGGUGUACAUGGAUGUAGAACUGAUUUAUAACUAUCUCUUUGGGUAAUACUUUUCAUCAGAAUACGUCAACGUUUUCAUUUGCACAAAUGGGUGGAAAUGGCAACUCUUAAUUUUUAGAAAUAAAUAUAUGAAGACCACUGCAUACUUGUCUAGUUUCUGUUUGUAUGCUUGUGUGUGUAUAUAUAGAUGUGCUUACACUUAAACAUAGGCUGUUACAGGGUAGGUAAGUCUUAGGCUUUCCCCUUCCCCUUCCUCCUUCAGUUGUUUGAGUACUUCAUUGUACACAUUUGAAUCUACAGCCCAGAAUCCUAAGAAGUUCUAAAUUGGCCAUGACAGUAGUUGAAGUAAUACUGACAAAAAGUAGGCAGUACUUGUGUAAGUAAAUGCCAGACCUUUAUCGUUAUCAAUAAGAAUGUUAGCUUUUGUUGUAGAUAGUAGAUUCCCACUAUCAUCUUGUUUUCUGCUAUUUUGCAAUUUGAACUGGUAGAAAACAGUUUCUUCCACCAUGAUAUUCUUUCAGUAUGUCUAGUACAGGAGGGCAGAAUAGAGUAUUCCUGAUGAUUCUUUUUAGUCUAAAAUAUACCAUAAAUUUUAACUGUAAAUAGUUUUGGAACAACACCUGCAUCUCAACUGAUAACCUGCCUAGCACGCUAUGCUGACGUUGUCAGCUGACAAGCAUACCACAGAUUGUUUGGCUUAAUUGUAUAAGACAGGAUAGCUCAGAAGAUGUAAGCUUGCCUUAUUCAGAGCACAAAAGGGUACAUAUGAAGGAGUUUAGUUCUAACGUACAGAAAAAUGUAGCUGUGGUGUGACUUACGUGUUUAUCAGUAAGUAUGGUAAAUAACAAGAUAGGCUCAAUGAAAAGGAGUUAAUUGUUCCUCUGUAUUGCUGUGUAUGUUUAACAGGUCUGAAGAAUUAUAUGUAGUACGUAGUUAAAGUGCUGUGUUGCGUCCUUUCUGUGUUACUGUUAUCAGCUAGGAGAAAAAUAUCUAUGGGAAAAUUUGGAACCUAAGCGCAGAAAGAGAUCCAGAAAGAGGAUCCGCAAAGGCAAAUAGUUGUGCCUUUCACGUAGCAAGAAGCAUAUCUUACUCCAGUCUGUACUAAUGUAGUUCAUCUCCUGCUACUCCCUGCUUGCUCCUUGAUUCACAGUAAAUCUGCUCCUGGUUCUAACUGUGAUUACAAAAAAGGCAUAUUUGUGCCCUUUCCUUUUAUAACAAAAGACUCCCUUAGUUUGAUGAUCCACUGAAGUGACGUCCCUGAAGAAAUUUACAGUCGGUACAGUUCUAAUUCAUGCUAGCCACAAAUGGUUCAGAAUCAAGAGCUGUAGCUGUCUCCCUGAAAAGCUACAUCAUAGUUCAUUCUCCACUGCUUUCAAACAGAGUUUGAAUGCAGAAUGAAGUAUGAAAUACACUGUCAGAAUUAAUGAAUCUCUAAAAAAUCUGACAAAUGCUUGAAUAUAUAUGUAUUAUUUAUACUGCUAUUUUUUUUUAGUCACUUUAACACUAUACAGACCAAUCUGGACAGCCAAUCUGACUUCUCUGACAUACGGCUAUUGUAGAACUGUAAAAAAAAAAAGUCAAUAUUCUCAGCAUUAUGGAUAUUGGCUUAUUUAUAAGCACAGCGAUUUUUAUCUAAGACAGCCAAGUCUUCAAAAACAAACAAAAAACAAAGCAAACAACAAAGCCAACUCCAAAACAAACAAACAGAAAAACCCAAGUAGGACUCCAUUGUGCUUGGAGAUUUUUUUAGUUUUAAAAACGGUUUUUAAAGUCCUGUGAAGUAAAACUGUACACGAGGGAAGGAAAGCAAAGGAGGAGGAGUGCUACUAUCCUACUGGCAGCUCCUGCUGCAUGGAUACAGCUGACAGUUAAAGAUCUUCGAAUGAUACUGUUUCUAGCUGAGUUUAUGAUGAAGAUCAAAAGCAGAAGUAAUGAAGCCAAUGAACAACUUCGACAAUACUUACUCUCAUUCUGCUUUCCACUUUAGUCCAAAGCCUGCUGUUUCCACUGAUAUUCAAGUGAACAGUGCAGUGCUAAAGCAGGAUGUCCUACGAAGACUUUCCAGAGUGUUAACGAAAAAGACCAUACCAGAAUCUUCUUCAAAUACAUAUAUAUAUUUAUAUAUUUAUAUAUAAACUUUUCCAAAAUGUUGGCUUUGUUUUUCUGUCAGGCAUAUAUAAAAGAAAAUAAACAGAAAUUACCCAAAUUACACAAUUUGAGUCCUUGAAGACAGUUACAGUCCCAUAAAUCUGAAAACAAGCGCGCAGAACAAUUCUAACUGAUUGUUAUUCUGAUAAAAAAAAAUGUUAGGGUAGGUGGCGUGGAAAUAACAAGGUAAUAGCAUUGCUUCCAGCUUAACUAUGGGAAUGUGAAUAACACUUUGAAAGUAAAAAUCUUCUAAAAUUCAGCCCAAACUACUCAUUAGACUACUUCAGCUUUCAGUCUUGUUAACUGUGAUUAACACUGUUGAUAUUUCUGUAGACAAAAUAAAAAGAUGAUGGAGAAUUUUGGUUGUUCCUAGACCCAUAGGCUUGGUGAAGUUCAAAUUAGCCUUUGAGGCAUAUUCCCAGAUAAUUUUUUGUUGCAGUCUUGGUAUAUACUCUCAAUGUUACAUCUUCUAUAGAGACAGUCUUACUGUAUUUUUUUAAAUGUUAUCUCUCAUUGUAGUACACACAAACUUAACUUUCCUGCAUUUUGUCGUAACUGUGGAAUUGCACUGUUUAUUCACUUCUGUCUCAUGGCUUUGGAGAACCCAAAGGCACACCUGGUCAGCACAGGGGGUUUUCAAGAGCCUGGUCUUCUCUUUUGGCCAGGUGUGAGAUAGAAAUUGACCAGCAACAAAGGGCUUCUACUUUUCUGUACAGAGAGAAGAAUGAAAGAGAUUCUUAAUAACACCUCCUUUGGUGCCAAACAGCAAUGAGUUUCUUCAAGUAUUUAAGAUACUCCAAGUAGCAUACAGGUUUACAGAGAUAAUAUUUUUAACAGACCCUCUCUACUGGUGCAAGGACUGUGUUCCCACCACAGCCAGCAGAAGGCACUUACGUAUAUCUGCUGUGUUGUAUCUGAAGGAGGCAACAGAUGAAAUACGAAAAAGGAAUGUUUUACCAGUGACGUUCUGAAGUAUGGUCCUCUUCUGUAUCAUUCAUGUACUUUCAGAAAUACAGUGUAGUAAAUGAAGGAGAUGGUGGAGUCACCAACCCUGGAGGUGUUCAAGGAACGUUUGGACUUUCUGUUGAGGGAUUUGGUUUAGUGAGAAGUAUUGGUGAUGGGUGGAUGGUUGGACUGGGUCAUCCUGUGGGUCUUUUCCAACCUUAGUGAUUCUGUGAUACUCAGUGCUAUGAAGUAGACUGGACUAAUUGCCUGAAUGUUUAAAACAUGCGUGAUCAAAAAAAGAUCUUCUGACUGAUGAAGAAGCUUAAGGAACCCUUUUUUUUCUAACAAAUGAGAAACACUACUGGAAACACAGAACAGCUAUAAACCUUCCAAACUGCAGUGUGAAAAAGAAAUGCGUGUUUUCUACCUGCUUCCCAUCUCUUCUUUCCCCUCAAUGAAAAAAAGCUCAAUUUCCUUGGUUGAGUGCAAAGUAGCUUGACUUCUAUCCUGCCAGACAACAAACAAACCCCAGUUCUAUCUAAUUGCUAACAGAGGCUAAAUAUUAUGCUACAAAAAGAAAAUCUAAGAACCUGUGCAAAUUUAUAGUAGGAAUGGGACUGUUGCAUCAGCAGCAAGAUUCAGCACUGCUGGACUGCUAGAGGUGUUGUUGAAUUGUACUAAUCAUCCCAAAGCAUUUUUCUUCUAGUCUGGUUAUUCAAAACCCAGAAUCGCAAUGAAAAGAUUUAAAGAUCACGGCAUGCUGUUGUUAUGUUCACUUUGUGGUGGACAUAUGAAAAGAGAUGUGUUAAGUGCCUUAAUGGAGUAAAAAGUACCUAAAUGAAAUGGGAUAGGGAUCAGAACGUAAAAUGCUUUCAGCUCCUGAGCUGAAUCUGUCAAAUUGCACCAUAUCAUUUUUAUUAUUUCAAUAUGUAGUCUCAGAAAUGCUUGGGACACACUUUCUUAUCACAAAGAGGAGACUAUAAUUCACACAAAAGCGCUUUUAUUUAGUAUCUCAUUCCCAGAUAAAAUGUGUAUAGAUGUUACAAAGUCCACGUGGUGAAGCAUAUGUUGAAAUACCUAUGUCCACAUGUAAGAUGUGACACUAUUCUUCCUGCUCUUCUUGGAAUUUCUUAGCUGUACUUGUAUUUUCACAACCGAAAUGCACCAAUAAAGAAAUAACUUCCUAGAAUAUAAAAAUAUUAUGCUGAAGAACAAUUCAAAGAAAAUAAUUCAAAGCUAGGCAAAAUUUAAGUAUUAAAAUGUAAUCCUCGGACUGAAAUGUAAGAGUUGUUGCUGAUAAUCAGCUGUUCUGUAAAGGUGUGAAUGCAAAGCCAAAGGAUAUAUUGUUGAUGCUUACUCCUGAGGAAUCACAGAACCAUGGAAUAAAUGAGGUUGGAAGAAGCUUAAGGUGCCACUCCCCUGCUCAAGCUGGGACACCGACAGCCAGUUGCCCAGGACCACGUCUGUGUGGCUUUGAUAGGCUGAAGACACCACCAGUACUGUGGGCAGCCUGUGCCGGAGUUUGAUUAUGCUUUCAGUGAAAAAGUGCUGUCUGAUGUUUAGAGGA